GCCUGAGUGGUGAAAUGGUAGACACGCCAGACUCAAAAUCUGGUGAUAGCGAUAUCGUGCCGGUUCGAGUCCGGCCUCAGGUACCA
rnacentral:tRNA from 1 species